rnacentral:rRNA from 1 species
AACGAACGCUGGCGGCAUGCUUUACACAUGCAAGUCGAACGGUAACAGGCCGCAAGGUGCUGACGAGUGGCGAACGGGUGAGUAAUGCAUCGGAACGUGCCCAGUCGUGGGGGAUAACGCAGCGAAAGCUGUGCUAAUACCGCAUACGAUCUAUGGAUGAAAGCGGGGGACCGUAAGGCCUCGCGCGAUUGGAGCGGCCGAUGUCAGAUUAGGUAGUUGGUGGGGUAAAGGCUCACCAAGCCAACGAUCUGUAGCUGGUCUGAGAGGACGACCAGCCACACUGGAACUGGGACACGGCCCAGACUCCUACGGGAGGCAGCAGUGGGGAAUUUUGGACAAUGGGCGCAAGCCUGAUCCAGCAAUGCCGCGUGCAGGAAGAAGGCCUUCGGGUUGUAAACUGCUUUUGUACGGAACGAAAAGGUUUGGGUUAAUACCCUGGGCCGAUGACGGUACCGUAAGAAUAAGCACCGGCUAACUACGUGCCAGCCGCCGCGGUAA